UGUAUGAAAAGUUGCCCAAAAAAUAUGGGCGGUUAACAUAAAAUUUUCAGAACUCCAAAAUCACUCUCCUAGUCUUCUCUCUCCUCUCUCCUCUCGAAUUCUCUUUCCUCCAUAGCUCCGCCCAGAUGCUGUAUCUGUGUCUGUGUCUGUGUCUGUGUCUGUGUCUGUGUCUAAUUCAUCUUUCUCAUGUUUCUUACCUGAUUUUUGUUGGGUGAACAAAUUAUUCCGAUUUUGAUUGAUUUAUCUGUUAUUAAUUUCUGGAAUCAACUCAAGUAUAAUCAAUUUGAUGGAAAAGAAAAAGGAUGCGCCGGUUUUUGUGAAUUUAUGGGUGUUUUCGUGUUCGUCGGAACAAACCCCGAUCUACCACCGCCGCCUAAGCCCGUUCCUGCUUCCUACUUCUCCCCUCAUUCCUCGUUGCUCACUGCCUCACCAACCGGAAUCGACGCCCGGAGGCUACCAACGAUCUUUGAUUGCCAUUGUUAUACAGAAGUAUACAGAAAGGAAAAAGCAAAACCGGAAUAGCUGAUAGGAAGGGCUCUCCUGAAAUGCAAGUAUACUCGGUUAUACCAUUAGAGGGUUUCUCACCCAAUGAACUUCAGGUUGGCGAAAACAUAAAAUAUGUCAACUCAGUGAAGGCCGGUUUGGAACAAAAUAUGUCAACUCAAAAGAAACUCAAGAUAGUGCUCAUGUGGAAGAAUGCCAUUAAUAUACCGGGAUGAUAUUGUAAACUUUGCUUGGGAAUUGGUCAAUGAUUAUCUAUUACUAUGACUAUUCUUUGGUCAUGGGGUGCCUUGAUCGCGUGUUUGCUGGAAUGGUGAGUGGUACCUCUCAAUUGUUCCACGACUGGUAUGUCUCUAUCAACAAGCUCAAAUAGGUUUACUUUUGUAUGACUGUACGUCAGUACACACCUGAAAUGAUUAUUAAUGUUACUUACUUUGUACUACAUGUCAUUGUUUGUAUGUCGUAGCUUGAUGGUUUCUGCUUGUCGUUGUAUGCACUCAGGGAACUGGAGUUCUGCGCAGACAUUUUCAAAUGCCUGUAGAGUUCUUUUGCAUGAUAGAUUGCAUUUUCUAGAUCGUAUGCUAUAGUAUCGACAAAAGUAUUAUAGUUAGAAAAGUUGAUGGUCGUGUUAUGUUCCAUGAGGAUUUAGCACCUUAGUAAUGGAUACUCAGCGAGAAGCAACCGCAAUGACCACCACUACUUGCGGAUGGUCACAAGGGCCAUGGUGUCUCCGACUUGCAUCAAAGCCGAAACUUUUUGCCAUUUUGGCGCAAAAAGAACAAGGUACAUUUUGAUGAUGUUCAACAAGCUCGGUAUCUGCAGCAUCCGAGGAAAACUAAAGAGCCUGGAUGAUAAUACGAGCAGGAAAGGCCUUGCUGAAAUUUACGAUGUCAUAUCACUUUCAGGAAUGCAUUGUUUAAGCUUGAGACAGUAAGGAAACUGGUUAAGCAUAUGAUGCAAUCGAAAAGUCUCAUACUUUCAAAGAAUUUAAUGAGAGCAGGCAGGAGCUCUUGUGCUCUUCCAGAAGAUGCACAAGCUUGAGAUAAAGCCGAAUGUGGGGACCUUUUCGGCUAUUUUAAAUGCUUGCAGGUAUCUCCCUCUCUUUCACUGAAUUUAUCUUUAUUUUUUAAAGUACAAGCAUGAAACUUUGAGGUGAAUGACUGAAGGGUGAGUUGCUUAUCAAAAGUUUAACUGACAAGACAACAUUAUGUAGUAUCUCUGCGUUGCUUGACAAGGGUAAUGAAUUAGGACCCUAUCACUGUAUAGUUGGGAGUUGGAGCUGCAAGACUUGCCAUUCAAAAAUCCCAACAGGGGAAAAAAUAUCCCGCAUAUAACUGGAGUGAUUGUGAAAAGGAAAAUAAACUGCAGUGGUUUCUUGUUGAUUUGAUUUGAUGAUUAUGAAUUUGAAUCUUCUGCAAUUGAUUAAUUAUAUUGCUUACUGACUUUUUUAUUUUUUAAUGCAGUGGUAUAAAUGGCUCCUAAAAAAUCAAAGUGUCCACUUUAGUAGUGGAGUUUGCUUGUUGAACCAGAUUUGUCAUCAUAUUGGUCGUUGGGGAUUGAUUAAUGCCCUUGUUGUUGAAUGAUGCUACGGUCUUUGAUGUUGUUUGAAUUAUUUGUGCCGACAUUUUGACAGAGUUUUUGUGGCUGAUAUAUAUAUAUAUAUAUAUGUAUAUAUAUAUAUAUAUAUAUAUAUAUAUAUAUAUACAUAUAUAUAUAUAUAUGUCUAUUUUUUUUGGAUUUUUUGCCGUAUCCUUGCCGUACCCGUUUAUUGAAAUUUUAAUUUUGCCGUUUCUGGUCCCCGUACCCGUCCAGGUAUUUGACCCCGUAGUCCCGUACCCGUUUCUGUGUUACAUAGGUCAUAUAUAUGGUCAAAUGGCUUUCUUAUAAGGUUAUGAUACCAAGAUAGAUUAAGAGUGUAUCGAUUUCACUAUGGCUCGUAGAAUGUUACAUCUUGUUUUUCAGCAGGGAUAUUUUUAAGAUUAUGCCUUAUUCUUAAUAAGCAAUAAGUUCCCUUUGUUCAUACCCCCGUAUUGUUUAAUCUUUUUGCUUCAUUUCAGGUAUAAGGUACUUCUUUACUCUUGUGCGCUUAUCUUCAAUAACUCUCUAAUUACACUGACUCAGAGGUAAUCUGUGAAAAUUCCUCCUUUACUCUUGGUGUUUUACGGUGGUUGGGACUGUUGUAGUUUUCAUGGGUAUAUGCUGAUGCUGGUAUUCUUUUCAGGUGCUUGAGAGUGUUUGUAUUAGGGUGUUGUGAGGCUGUGCCGUGGGUGCAUUCCGUCUGUAUUGGCUCUUGAGUCUUUAGUAUUUUUAAUUUUCUCUUUUCUACGUCUCUCUCUGCUUUUCCUCUGUUUUGUUUUCCACUCUGCAGGGUGAGGCAGCAAGUUUGACGCAGUCAAAAUAGCAAAGUAAGGGCAUCCUGUAUAUUUUACAAGAGGUUAACUGAACGAAUUAGGCAGCAUGGGCACUUGAACUCGAAGAUUCCCCACGCGACUCUAGAACGAGAAAUGCUCAACUUAAGUAUUGCAAUUGAGUUUAUGUAAAGGUGGAAGUACAUAUUUUUGAACAACUUGUAGCAAUAUCUUUUGUAAUAAGUCCAUGUUGAUAGGAAGAACCGAAGAAGCCAUUACUUGCUUGUCUUUUGCGAACUAAGUGUACAAUAACAUUAGAUUUUUAUAUAUUUUAUAUUUUAUAGUACAA